rnacentral:rRNA from 2 species
UUCCGGUUGAUCCUGCCAGACCUGACUGCUAUCGGAUUGAUACUAAGCCAUGCGAGUCAUUGUAGCAAUACAAGGCAGACGGCUCAGUAACGCGUAGUCAACCUAACCUAUGGACGGGAAUAACCUCGGGAAACUGAGAAUAAUGCCCGAUAGAACACUAUAUCUGGAAUGGUUUGUGUUCCAAAUGAUUUAUCGCCGUAGGAUGGGACUGCGGCCUAUCAGUUUGUUGGUGAGGUAAUGGCCCACCAAGACUAUUACAGGUACGGGCUCUGAGAGGAGUAGCCCGGAGAUGGGUACUGAGACACGGACCCAGGCCCUAUGGGGCGCAGCAGGCGAGAAAACUUUGCAAUGUGCGAAAGCACGACAAGGUUAAUCCGAGUGGUUUGUGCUAAACGAACCUUUUGUCGGUCCUAGAAACACCGAUGAAUAAGGGGUGGGCAAGUUCUGGUGUCAGCCGCCGCGGUAAAACCAGCACCUCAAGUGGUCAGGAUGAUUAUUGGGCCUAAAGCAUCCGUAGCCGGCGCUAUAAGUUUUCGGUUAAAUCUGUACGCUCAACGUACAGGCUGCCGGGAAUACUGUAGCGCUAGGGAGUGGGAGAGGUAGACGGUACUCGGUAGGAAGGGGUAAAAUCCUUUGAUCUAUUGAUGACCACCUGUGGCGAAGGUGGUCUACCAGAACACGUCCGACGGUGAGGGAUGAAAGCUGGGGGAGCAAACCGGAUUAGAUACCCGGGUAGUCCCAGCUGUAAACUAUGCAAACUCAGUGAUGCAUUGGCUUGUGGCCAAUGCAGUGCUGCAGGGAAGCCGUUAAGUUUGCCGCCUGGGAAGUACGUACGCAAGUAUGAAACUUAAAGGAAUUGGCGGGGGAGCACCACAAGGGGUGAAGCCUGCGGUUCAAUUGGAGUCAACGCCGGA